GAUGAACGCUGGCGGCGUGCCUAAUACAUGCAAGUCGAACGAGGUCUUCGGACCUAGUGGCGAACGGGUGAGUAACACGUUGGUACCUACCCUCGAGUGGGGAAGUAACUGGCCGAAAGGUACGGCUAAUACCGCAUAAUACCGCAAGGUUAAAGUAGUAAUACGCUCGGGGAGGGGCCGUGCGUCCCACUUAGCUAGUUGGUAGGGUAAGUGGCCUACCAAGGCGACGAUGGGUAGCUGGAUCGAGAGGUUGACCAGCCACA
rnacentral:rRNA from 1 species